rnacentral:rRNA from 1 species
UACGUAGGGGCAAGCGUUGUCCGGAUUUAUUGGGCGUAAAGAGCGUGUAGGCGGCUAGGUAGGUCCGUUGUGAAAACUCGAGGCUCAACCUCGAGACGCCGAUGGAAACCAUCUAGCUAGAGUCCGGAAGAGGAGAGUGGAAUUCCUGGUGUAGCGGUGAAAUGCGCAGAUAUCAGGAAGAACACCCGUGGCUAAGGCGGCUCUCUAGUACGGUACUGACGCUGAGACGCGAAAGCGUGGGGAGCGAACAGG